UACGGGGUGGGCAAGCGUUGUUCGGAAUUACUGGGCGUAAAGGGCUCGUAGGCGGCCAACUAAGUCAGACGUGAAAUCCCUCGGCUUAACCGGGGAACUGCGUCUGAUACUGGAUGGCUUGAGUUUGGGAGAGGGAUGCGGAAUUCCAGGUGUAGCGGUGAAAUGCGUAGAUAUCUGGAGGAACACCGGUGGCGAAGGCGGCAUCCUGGACCGGCAUUGACGCUGAGGCGCGAAAGCCAGGGGAGCAAACGGG
rnacentral:rRNA from 1 species